rnacentral:lncRNA from 1 species
AUGUUGCCCAGCUGGUCUCAAACUACUGGCUUCAAGUCAUACCUCCAUUUCAGCCUCCCAAAUUUCUGGGAUUACAGGUGUGAGCCACAGUGCCUGGUUCCUGCUUAUUCCUUUCUUAUUUUCUUCCUUUAUUUCUUUUUUACACAGAUACUCAUGAAGACUUACAAUGUGCCAUUUCCCCGUGAAUAUUUCGGAAUACUCUUUCCUACACAGAGAGUUUUAAAACUCAUCCAAACAGUUGAAGACACUCUCAAGGAAUUACAGCAAAAGAUUGCUGGAAGUCUGUCCUUCAUACCUGAGGAAAGUUAUGUGAAGAGCCUUUUAAGACAAAAAGAGGAAACAGAAGACUUGAGCAAUACUACAAAUCAACAAGAUUUAACUGAUACAGAGCAUUCCACCCAAAAACAGCAGAAACUUACUUUCCCAAUGUAUAUUAAACAUUACUCAGGAUAGGACACAUGAAGAUUAUAAAACAAGUUUCAACAAAAUUUUAUAGUUUGAAAUCAUAAGAAGUGUCUUCUCUA